rnacentral:lncRNA from 1 species
AUGCUGGGAUCUGGAAGAUUUUCAAGGAGGAAGCUGGACUUUGAGACAGUGCUGAGGAGAAUUCUAAUGCAAUUCAAAUUAUUUUCUAUUAAGUCCACGGCAAAGACCUGUUUGCUUAAAAUGUUGGAAUUCUGCCUGCACACUCCUCUGCUGAAUAAAUCCUUGUGUAGUCUGUUCCAAACAGGUUCCUAUGCUCGCCUGCCCACUUCAUCCGGGCUGGAAUCCAGCUGACAAGUACUCAGAGGGGCUGGAGGUGGAAUCCAGUUUGGAUGACAGUUGCUAAAAACUCAUUUAUUUUCCAGGCAGUAACAUUUAUUUAAUUUCCAUUUUAAUAGACUGUUAUUUCAAAUAUUAAUCAACCUACCUGCUACCUUCAAGCAUCUCUCAUUCUAGGCACAAAAUAAAGAAAAAUACUUGCUGUCA